AUUGAACGCUGGCGGACUGCUUUACACAUGCAAGUCGAACGGCAGCACGGGGGCAACCCUGGUGGCGAGUGGCGAACGGGUGAGUAAUACAUCGGAACGUGCCCAGUCGUGGGGGAUAACGUAGCGAAAGUUACGCUAAUACCGCAUACGAUCUACGGAUGAAAGCGGGGGACCGUAAGGCCUCGCGCGAUUGGAGCGGCCGAUGUCAGAUUAGGUAGUGGGUGUGGGAAAGGCUCACCAAGCCGACGAUCUGUAGCUGGUCUGAGAGGACGACCAGCCACACUGGGACUGAGACACGGCCCAGACUCCUACGGGAGGCAGCAGUGGGGAAUUUUGGACAAUGGGCGCAAGCCUGAUCCAGCCAUUCCGCGUGCAGGACGAAGGCCUUCGGGUUGUAAACUGCUUUUGUACGGAACGAAAAGGCUCUGGUUAAUACCUGGGGCUCAUGACGGUACCGUAAGAAUAAGCACCGGCUAACUACGUGCCAGCCGCCGCGGUAA
rnacentral:rRNA from 1 species